UUUUUUUUUUAUCAGCAAAAC
rnacentral:piRNA from 1 species